GACGUAGGGUGCAAGCGUUUGUCCGGAUUUACUGGGCGUAAAGCGCGCGUAGGCGGUCUGUUAAGUGUAGAGUGAAAGCUCCGGGCUCAACCCGGAAAUUGCUCUGCAUACUGGCAGACUUGAGGGAUGCAGAGGUUUGUGGAAUUCCUGGUGUAACGGUGAAAUGUGUUGAUAUCAGGAGGAACACCCAUGGCGAAGGCAGCAAACUGGGCAUCAUCUGACGCUGAGGCGCGAAAGCGUGGGUAGCAAACAGG
rnacentral:rRNA from 1 species